CAGUAGCCGCGGUAACACGAAGGGGGCUAGCGUUGCUCGGAAUGACUGGGCGUAAAGGGCGCGUAGGCGGCGAUCAAAGUCAGGCGUGAAAUUCCUGGGCUCAACCUGGGGGCUGCGCUUGAUACUUGGUUGCUUGAGUGGGGAAGAGGGUCGUGGAAUUCCCAGUGUAGAGGUGAAAUCCGUAGAUAUUGGGAAGAACACCGGUGGCGAAGGCGGCGACCUGGUCCUUGACUGACGCUGAGGCGCGAAAGCGUGGGGAGCAAACAGGAUUAGAUACCCCCGUAGUCCCUGUCUCUUAUAU
rnacentral:rRNA from 1 species